rnacentral:lncRNA from 1 species
CAAUUCCUUGAACUACUUCCUGUUUAUCAAGGCAGCUAGUUGGUCUGCCAUUGGUAAGUCAUAUUUGUUUUAUCAAAUGUGUUAAAAACCAAUAAGUAUAUAAGAAAAGACCAUAAUAGAUAAUGUAUAAGGGAAAUUGCAUAUUAACCAUUGUCAAUUAUACCACAUCUCAUUGUUUUAUAAAGAAAUAAUAUAAGUAUAUGAAACGAAAGUAGACAACAAAAUAAAAAUAAACGUUAUUGUCAUGGAUAGUUGACUCAUUGACAAACCGCAUAUAUCCUUCUUUAUAUAUUUUUUUCUUCAUUUUUCUCUAUUUUUUUAUUUUCCCCCAUUAUUCUCUAUUCUGCAUGUAUACCCAUCCGCACUUUCCGUUAUACCACAUCCCCUUAUUUUGAUAUAGCUGACUACAAAAAUAAACAAACUAAGGGAUUACAGAAAAAUUUGAGCAAUUAUACGCUACCUAGCGACACAUAGUUUGCUACAUCUUUCGAUGUCAGAAUGGAUGAUGUUAAUGACAUAUAAAAUAGGGGCGAAAGAUACCAGAGGAACAGUUAAACUCAUAAAUCGAAAUAAACUGACAACGCCAUGGCUAAAAAUGAAAAAGUCAAACAAACAAAAAGUAGUACACAAGAAACAAUAUAGAAAACUAAAGACUGAGCAACACGAACCCCACCAAAAACUCGGGAUGAUCUCAGGUGCCCCGGAAGGGUAAGCAGAUCCUGCUCCACAUGUGGCACCCGUCAUGUUGCUCAUGUUACUCCAAACCCGGUAAAUAGUGAAUUCGGUAAGUCACAUUCAUGAAAAGGGAAGGGGAUUGUAGUUACGACGUAAAAAACAUAUCCGAUAUAAUCUGUGAAACGGUUAUUCCAUAAAAAUCAACCAACUCGUGAUGGCGUCUGUAAAAUUUACGAAGGAGUGAUUUCAGCUAUUGCUAAUUUCUUAUUUGUUUAUCCUAAGAAGUUUCUGUAUGAAUUCAGCCUCAUAAUAAUAUUAAACAAGUCGACAAGAAGAGGGGCACAAUUGAUUCUCAUUGGAAUGCCGACAGUCUGCUGAAAACACGUCCUCCAAAAGUAACAAAUAUGUUGUCAAUUAAGAAAUUAAGCAUCUUGAUAAUGUCAGUUUCAGGGAAUUUUUCUUUUGAAUCAUUGUGAUCCUUUACGAAGAAGGAUUUAUCACUCCCUAAGACAAGAUAUUUGUAUCUACGUUGGCCAUUCUUUUUUAUGAAACAAAACAAACCAGCUCUUUCAAUAUAACAUGUGUCAAGAGCAAUUUCUUGACACGCCCGACUUAAAAAAAAUGUCUAUUUUCUAGUAUCUUUUUAUGUUCUAUAAAGUUUCUUCGAUAAAUCAUUCAAAAUCAGAUCAUUACAUACGUUGUUCAGUCUGAUUUUUUUUUAAAUCAUUGUUGUAUAAAAUAAGUAUUUAUAACAAAACAAAAUCCAAGGUAGUUCUAAAUUUAAAUAUGGGGAUAAAGCCUGACAACAAAAUGCUUGAUAAUAUCAAACAACGGAACGUAUGGUAAACAAAUGUUAUAUUCCUGGUUUGAAUAAAUAAACUCAUCAUAGAUACCAGGAUUGAAAUUUCAUAUUGGAACAGCCAUCUUUUUCUAUAUAAAACGUUGGGUUAAACCUGGUUUAACCUAGCUGAACCUCCCACUUGUAGGAUAGUUGCUUAAAGUCCUGUCAUAUAGAAAAAAAAUAGUGGGCAAACCGAAGUUCGAUUCAUUGUGUUAUUUUGAAACAGGCCAGUGGUUUUCUAGUUUGUAAUUGUAUCAUGUUUGAGCUUUAUAUAGUUUACUGUACGGUAUAUAUUUUUGCUAUGUUGAAGGUCGUAUGGUGACCUGUAGUUAUUAAAUUGGCAUCUCAUUUACAAUCAUACAACAGCUUCUAUUUUUAUAUGAUCUUUAACAUAUAUCUGGGGUUUUGUCAUAUAAGCACAUGUCAUAUUGAGGAUGCUAUUUCGCAGUCUAUGUCAUAGUCUUUGCUGGAUAGUUGUGAAUCCGAGCACCACAUUUCUUUAAUGAAAUGCUAAAUUUAAAUAACAUUAUCUUUUCGAUAAAACAAACACUUGUAAUGCACUCAACAAGUAACUGCUGGUAAAAUGUUCUCAGCUGUUAUUAUGUAUGGUAAUUAUCUCAGUUUGUUGCUCUUGUAUUUUGUUUUUUUUCCUGUUUUCCGUUUCUCUCUAUAUUUAUUAAAGUUUUUGCCCAAAAUACAAAAAAAUGGGUACAAAGGUCAACAGCUUUUUUAAGAACAAAUUUUUAAUUUUGGCUUUGUUGUCAUAUUUGAAGUUCAUGGUGAUCUUGAUGAUCAUUGCUGUUACGCUACCAUGUGGAUAAUGUUUGGUUUUCACUUAUCACUUUGUUUAUUUAAAACGAGAAAUGCCAUAAGUCUGAGUAGUCGCUAUUGGUUACCCUAAAAAUAUUUGUUGACUUCACCAUAGUGUUUUUUAAAUAGAAAUGGGCAAUGAUUGGAGUAUGUCGAGAGAACAUCGCGAUCCAAUGAUGGAAUCAGUUAGAGCCAAGUGGUACUCUGAAAACGACACCAGGAUUGUUGCUGAUAACUUUGUAGCAGAACACAAGAAACUCAAAGUAGACAUUGGGCAGCUAAAAGAGAAUGAGAAAAAACUACAAGAAGCAAAUAGGAGUAUAGCCGCAACAUUCAAUGAGUGUUUGGUUGAAUACCAACAAUUAAAAGAAGAAUUGUCAUCAAUAAAGCAGGAAAACUUAGAAUUGGGGAAGCAACUUGAUGCUAAACAACAGGAUAACCAAGAACUGACGAAAGAAAAUAACAUUCUUUCAAAUGGAAAAGAGAACGC